UGGGGAAUUUUGCGCAAUGGGCGAAAGCCUGACGCAGCAACGCCGCGUGUGUGAUGAAGGUCUUCGGAUCGUAAAGCACUUUCGACCGGGACGAAUACCCGUUGGCUAACAUCCAGCGGUUUGACGGUACCGGGAGAAGAAGCACCGGCUAACUCUGUGCCAGCAGCCGCGGUAAUACAGAGGGUGCAAGCGUUGUUCGGAAUUAUUGGGCGUAAAGCGCGUGUAGGCGGCUUUGCAAGUCGGGUGUGAAAGCCCUCAGCUUAACUGAGGAAGUGCGCCCGAAACUGCAUUGCUUGAGUACCGGAGAGGGUGGCGGAAUUCCCCAAGUAGAGGUGAAAUUCGUAGAUAUGGGGAGGAACACCGGUGGCGAAGGCGGCCACCUGGACGGCUACUGACGCUGAGACGCGAAAGCGUGGGGAGCAAACAGG
rnacentral:rRNA from 1 species